AUUGAACGCUGGCGGCAGGCCUAACACAUGCAAGUCGAGCGGAGCGGCGGACGGGUGAGUAAUGCCUAGGAAUCUGCCUGGUAGUGGGGGCUAACGUCCGGAAACGGGCGCUAAUAUCGCAUACUAUCAGAUGAGCCUAGGUCGGAUGAGCUAGUUGGUGGGGUAAAGGCCUACCAAGGCGACGAUCCGUAACUGGUCUGAGAGGAUGAUCAGUCACACUGGGACUGAGAAACGGCCCAGACGCCUACGGGAGGCAGCAGUGGGGAAUUUUGGACAAUUGGGGAAACCCUGAUCCAGCCAGCGCGCGUGUAUGAAGAAGGCCUUCGGGUUGUAAAGGACGUUGGGCAGAGAAGCGGUAUCUGCAGAAUAAGCACCGGCUAACUACGUGCCAGCAGCCGCGGUAAUUC
rnacentral:rRNA from 1 species